rnacentral:rRNA from 1 species
AGAGUUUGAUCAUGGCUCAGAUUGAACGCUGGCGGCAUGCUUUACACAUGCAAGUCGAACGGCAGCACGGGAGCUUGCUCCUGGUGGCGAGUGGCGAACGGGUGAGUAAUGCACCGGAACGUACCCAGUAAUGGGGGAUAACACAUCGAAAGAUGUGCUAAUACCGCAUACGCCCUGAGGGGGAAAGCGGGGGAUCGUAAGACCUCGCGUUAUUGGAGCGGCCGAUGCCGGAUUAGCUAGUUGGUGAGGUAAGAGCUCACCAAGGCGACGAUCCGUAGCUGGUCUGAGAGGACGACCAGCCACACUGGGACUGAGACACGGCCCAGACUCCUACGGGAGGCAGCAGUGGGGAAUUUUGGACAAUGGGCGCAAGCCUGAUCCAGCCAUUCCGCGUGAGUGAAGAAGGCCUUCGGGUUGUAAAGCUCUUUCGCAAGGGAAGAAAACUUACACAAUAACACUGUGUGAGGCUGACGGUACCUUGAUAAGAAGCACCGGCUAACUACGUGCCAGCAGCCGCGGUAAUACGUAGGGUGCGAGCGUUAAUCGGAAUUACUGGGCGUAAAGCGUGCGCAGGCGGUUUGGCAAGUCAGAUGUGAAAUCCCCGGGCUCAACCUGGGAACUGCAUUUGUGACUGCAUGGCUAGAGUACGGUAGAGGGGGAUGGAAUUCCGCGUGUAGCAGUGAAAUGCGUAGAUAUGCGG